rnacentral:lncRNA from 1 species
CUUUUUCUCUAGUGGUGUUUCCAGAACCCGGGAAGAAUUAAAUGUACAGGCGGAAGUUGAGUUGGUGUUCAGUGGAGCGUCCACUGAACCGAUCCCCAGCAACACUGACAUUGUGCAGACUCUAAAAGAAGCAGCUGCUAAUUCAACUGCAGGCUUCAACCUCACACUUGAUGCCACCACUAUUACUGUCAUUAAAUCAGUGCAGAUAAUUCCGCUGACAAUCCUCACCAAUGGAACCUUUGUGGCUGCUCUUUCAAAUAAAAGUUCUACUGAAUUUCAGAACAGGGCUUCGAUGAUAAAAGCAGGGCUCGAACCUUUUUUCCUCGCUGAUUACCCUAAAUCAUUCAGCACCAUAUCCAUAACAGACUUCAGGUAUGAAUAUGCUGGUGCAUUCUUGAAAAUAGCUACUGAUUCAAAAUAACACUCAGUUUUCAUUGAUGAAUCUUGAUUCCAAACUCUCUCCAGUGAUGCCAGUGUAAAAUUAAGGAGCGUGCCCACAAUCCGAAACUCCAUGGAUCUUGUAUUUGGAGCGGAUGCCGUUCUACCUAAUAGCACCCAGAUAGUGAACACUGUAGUUCGAGCAACUAGAAACAACACGUUACCCUUCCAGAUCUUCACUUCUUCAAUCAUAAUAAAUGGAACCGGUGAGUGAUGCACUUUAAUCUUGCACUGUAGUGAAACAUUGUGCACUCAGAUGAG